rnacentral:rRNA from 1 species
UACAGAGGGUGCAAGCGUUAAUCGGAAUUACUGGGCGUAAAGGGCGCGUAGGCGGGUCAACAAGUUAGAUGUGAAAUCCCCGAGCUUAACUUGGGAACUGCAUUUAAGACUGUUGAGCUUGAGUAGAAUAGAGGUAAGUGGAAUUUCCGGUGUAGCGGUGAAAUGCGUAGAUAUCGGAAAGAACACCAGUGGCGAAGGCGACUUACUGGAUUCAUACUGACGUGAGGCGCGAAAGCAUGGGGAGCAAACAGG